AGCGGUUCCGGUCACAUGACCGCGUGGACCAAUCACCGCUGGAGGCGGGGCGGGGCGAUUGGCCAGGCUGCAUCAUGUGACCGCGCCAGGCGGGGCCGAGCCUGUCGGGGAGGCCGGAAGGCAGCGGCAAGUGGGCCGAAGUUGGCUGGACUUUGGCCCAUCAGCUGAGGUCCAGCAGUGUGUCUGACGGCUACCAUCGCGGUGAAGCCGCAAAGAGCAGAAGCCGCAUCUUAAGCUUACUACACGGUGAGUGCAGCUGCAGCCCAGAGGGCAGACUGUCUGCCAAUGAAGCGGCCAUGGCCUGGCUGCGUGGCAGAGGGAUGUCCACACUUGCCCUGUGGUACGCUUGCAGGCUCGAAGUCUUUCUCCUGACUCCGUGGGUCCUGAAUAUCCUGCUACUUUCUGCACAAAAACCCUGGUCUCUCUGACACCCGACACGGAGGACAGUCACCCAGCGUAGUUACUGGGACGUGGGGGUUGGGGUAGAUAGCGGUAAGCUCUCCGCAGGGGCCGAUGCCUCGGAGCCCACGUCUUCUGCACCAAAUGGGCGUCCUUCAGACUCAACCCCCUUGAAAUCCACCGCAGUUUGGAGACCAGCAGAGGCAGGGCUGGAGAAGGCGUCAGCAGGGGAGGCCCCUUCUUCCAGCUCCACCCCCGGAGCCAGAGGCCAGGCCGGGGCCUAGAGGGGGCCUUCUCCCCAACGUGGGACACACAGCUCAGCCCCCCACCCCCACCAGGCACUCCUUUCCAAGCCAUCCUGGUGCAGGGCAUGUGGUUCAGAGUACCAGUGCUGGGGUCAGGGUGGAUCAGGGUUCGCCACCCCGUCCCUCCAGGAGCUCUGGUCCCAUCUCAUCGGCUGUACGAUGAGGUGACAACCACGCCUCCUUCCGGGGCUGGCAUAGGACCGCCUGGCUGGGUGCAGGAGAACCCACAGCGCCCAGCUGCCACACCGCGCGUGCUCAGGCUGGGGUGGCGUUAGUGACAAGCCCACCUGCUCCUGGAGGCCUUUGCCUUUGUGGGUUUUGGAUGGAGACCCAGCGGGGACACCUGGUUACUAGUCUUUGUGGGUUUUGGGACCCAGCGGGGACACCUGGUUACUAGUCUUUGUGGGUUUUGGGACCCAGCGGGGACACCUGGUUACUAGUCUUUGUGGGUUUUGGGACCCAGCGGGGACACCUGGUUACUAGUCUUUGUGGGUUUUGGGACCCAGCGGGGACACCUGGUUACUAGUCUUUGUGGGUUUUGGGACCCAGCGGGGACACCUGGUUAACAGUCUUUGUGGGUUUUGGGACCCAGCGGGGACACCUGGUUAACAGUCUUUGUGGGUUUUGGGACCCAGCGGGGACACCUGGUUACUAGUCUUUGUGGGUUUUGGGACCCAGCGGGGACACCUGGUUACUAGUCUUUGUGGGUUUUGGGACCCAGCGGGGACACCUGGUUACUAGUCUUUGUGGGUUUUGGGACCCAGCGGGGACACCUGAUUACUAGUCUUUGUGGGUUUUGGGACCCAGCGGGGACACCUGGUUACUAGUCUUUGUGGGUUUUGGGACCCAGCGGGGACACCUGGUUACUAGUCUUUGUGGGUAAGAGGCUGCAGUUUCUCCUUGGGGUCAGCCUCUUCCUUUGUGAGUUGCUGGGGCACAUGUGGGUGGCCUGGGUUGGGCCCUGCUAUCCCUGGGCCUCUUCUGCCUCUGGGUUCAUUUUUUCACACCUGCACUUCUCUGGCCCCUCAGCAAGUCCUUAUUGAGCCCCUACCACACCAGGCCCUGCACUGGGCAAGGAGACAGCACAGAACAAGAGGAUAUGGUCUGUGCCCACAAGGGCCCGGUCAGGGCCCCCUCGAAGGCCACAUGUCCUCUCUCAAUCGAGCCUCUGGGCAGGCCCAGCUGUGGACACCCCAGGCAGGUUGCCAACAAGUAGGAGUUCAGCUCUGCGCCAGGCCCAGUGCUGGGUGCUGAGGCUGCACAGGCAGGGCCCCCGCCCGGGAGAUGGGGGGUGGGGUAGGUACACCCUGCUGAGGGAGCCCCGAGGAAUCAUGCCUCACCCAGAUGGGCUGAGCCCUGAAGAAGGGGUGGUUUUCCAGGGGAAGCCUGAGGGCGGUCCAGGCAGAAGGAACAGCAGACCCAAGGGGCUGGAGGUGUCCAGGCUGCAUGCGGGGGGAUCCAGAGAGCAGUGAACAGAGAUGGGCGGAGAACCUUCAAGGGCCUGUGCUGUGAAUUUGGACUUUAUCCUGGAAACUGUGAGGCUCAGAGACAUUGGAGGAGUGUCAGGUGACCAGUGUUACAUUUUGGGAUGGUCACUCUGGCUGCAGCGUG